UUAAGCAUAUCAAUAAGCGGAGGAAAAGAAACUAACAAGGAUUCCCUUAGUAACGGCGAGUGAACCGGGAAAAGCUCAAAUUUGUAAUCUGGCUGUCUUCGAUAGUCCGAGUUGUAAUCUAUAGACGUGUUUUCCGUGCUGGACCGUAUCUAAGUCCCUUGGAACGGGGUAUCAAAGAGGGAGACAAUCCCGUGCUUGAUACGACCACCAGUGCUCUGUGAUACACGCUCUACGAGUCGAGUUGUUUGGGAAUGCAGCUCAAAAUGGGUGGUAAAUUCCAUCUAAAGCUAAAUAUUGGCGAGAGACCGAUAGCGAACAAGUACCGUGAGGGAAAGAUGAAAAGCACUUUGGAAAGAGAGUUAAACAGUACGUGAAAUUGUUGAAAGGGAAACGAUUGAAGUCAGUCGUGUUCUUUGGAUUCAGCUAGUUCUUCUAGUCUACUUCCUUUGAACGGGUCAACAUCAGUUUUGUCCGGUGGAUAAAGAUAGUAGGAAUGUAGCUCCCUCGGGAGUGUUAUAGACUAUUAUUGCAUGCACUGGGUGAGACUGAGGACUGCAGCUCGCCUUUUGGCCGGCCUUCAGGGUACGUUCGAGCUUAGGAUGUGAACAUCAUGGCUUUAAACGACCCGUCUG
rnacentral:rRNA from 1 species